rnacentral:lncRNA from 1 species
UCAGACAGGAUGAGAGGAGGAUAAGGCUAAAGACAGAGGCUCCAGCUACCUUGGUGACAAGGAAUGGAGGAGAAAAGGAACAGGAAAUUUUAAUAAGAUUAGGAGGGCUUGCUUUUCUGCCAAGUGAGCCGCUUUCACAGGAGCGAUAAAUUGGAAAUGUUAUCUGGCUUGAUAUGCCAGUUUUUCUGAGAAAAUCACUCUGCCAGUGGUGACAGAAUGGAAGAGCUGAAAACAUCUUCUUUUUUCAAAGUCAUAUGUCACGAACCAAGGAGACUCCAAAAAAUAAAUUAUGGAAGAUUAUGACCACUGCUGCCAAGGAUACAGUGAAAUAGAUCCAUUAAAGAAUUGAGAUUGCAGGACACACUACCACCCUGAAAACUGGAGAGAGGAAAAAUACAGAGAGGAAGCAGAUCAGCUUACCUGAAGCAGAGGCCGCUGGAAUCUGUGACAGGCUGCAUUUGUAACCAAGCCGUGGUCCUUUUCAUUGCAUCUUGCCAGAAUGAAGAAGAGCUGAUCUCUCCAGUUCCUGUUAUUCCCCUUACAUUGCCCACA